rnacentral:rRNA from 1 species
GAUGAACGCUGGCGGCGUGCUUAACACAUGCAAGUCGAACGAUGAAGCCCAGCUUGCUGGGUGGAUUAGUGGCGAACGGGUGAGUAACACGUGAGUAACCUGCCCUUAACUCUGGGAUAAGCCUGGGAAACUGGGUCUAAUACCGGAUAGGAGCGCCUACCGCAUGGUGGGUGUUGGAAAGAUUUAUCGGUUUUGGAUGGACUCGCGGCCUAUCAGCUUGUUGGUGAGGUAAUGGCUCACCAAGGCGACGACGGGUGGCCGGCCUGAGAGGGUGACCGGCCACACUGGGACUGAGACACGGCCCAGACUCCUACGGGAGGCAGCAGUGGGGAAUAUUGCACAAUGGGCGCAAGCCUGAUGCAGCGACGCCGCGUGAGGGAUGACGGCCUUCGGGUUGUAAACCCCUUUCAGUAGGGAAGAAGCGAAAGUGACGGUACCUGCAGAAGAGGCACCGGCUAACUACGUGCCAGCCGCCGCAGUAA